ACUACGGGUGGCAGCAGUGAGGAAUAUUGGUCAAUGGGAGAGAUCCUGAACCAGCCAAGCCGCGUGAGGGAAGACGGCCCUAUGGGUUGUAAACCUCUUUUGUCGGAGAACAAAACCCGGGACGUGUCCCGGACUGCGUGUAUCCGAAGAAAAAGCAUCGGCGAACUCCGUGCCAGCAGCAGCGGUAAUAAGGAGGAUGCGAAAGUUAUCCGGAUUUAGUGGGUUUAAAGGGUGCGUAGGCGGUCCGUUAAGUCAGCGGUAAAAUUGCGGGGCUCAACCCCGUCGAGCCGUUGAAACUGGCAUACUUGAGUUGGCGAGAGGUACGCGGAAUGCGCGGUGUAGCGGUGAAAUGCAUAGAUAUCGCGCAGAACUCCGAUUGCGAAGGCAGCGUACCGGCGCCAGACUGACGCUGAGGCACGAAAGCGUGGGGAUCGAACAGGAUUAGAUACCCUUGUAGUC
rnacentral:rRNA from 1 species